rnacentral:rRNA from 1 species
GUUUGAUCCUGGCUCAGAUUGAACGCUGGCGGCAUGCCUAACACAUGCAAGUCGAACGCGAAAGGGUUUUGGCUUGAGUAGAGUGGUGGAUGGGUGAGUAAUGUGUGGGAAUCUGCCCUGCAGUGGGGGUUUUGGUCUCUCGCUGCAGGAUGAGCCCACAUCCGAUUAGCUAGUUGGUGGGGUAAGGGUUUUAUUAAGGUGAUGAUUGGUAGUUGGUUUGAGAGGAUGAUUAGUUAUAUUGGGAUUGAGAUAUGGCCCAGAUUUUUAUGGGAGGUAGUAGUGGGGAAUAUUGGAUAAUGGGGGCAAUCCUGAUCCAGCAAUGCCGCGUGUGUGAAGAAGGCCUGCGGGUUGUAAAGCACUUUCAGUGGGGAAGAAAAGCCUGGAGCUAAUAUUUUUGGGUUUUGACGUUACUCACAGAAGAAGCACCGGCUAACUCCGUGCCAGUAGUUGCGGUAAUAUGGAGGGUGCAAGCGUUAAUCGGAAUCACUGGGCGUAAAGCGCACGUAGGCGGCCGAGUUAGUCAGGUGUGAAAUUCCCGGGUUUAAUUUGGGAAUUGCAUUUGAUACUGCUUGGCUCGAGUCCGAUAGAGGGGGGUGGAAUUUUAGGUGUAGUGGUGAAAUGUGUAGAUAUUUGGAGGAAUAUUAGUGGUGAAGGUGGCCCCCUGGAUUGAGACUGACGCUGAGGUGCGAAAGCGUGGGGAGUAAAUAGGAUUAGAUAUUUUGGUAGUUUACGCUGUAAACGAUGUCAACUAGCCGUUGGAUCCAUUUAAGGGUUUAGUGGCGCAGCUAAUGUGAUAAGUUGACCGCCUGGGGAGUACGGCCGCAAGGUUAAAACUCAAAGGAAUUGACGGGGGCCCGCACAAGCGGUGGAGCAUGUGGUUUAAUUUGAUGCAAUGUGAAGAAUCUUAUUAGUUCUUGACAUUCUAGGAAUCCUGCAGAGAUGUGGGAGUGUUUUUGGGAGCCUAGAGAUAGGUGCUGUAUGGCUGUCGUCAGCUCGUGUUGUGAGAUGUUGGGUUAAGUUUUGUAACGAGCGUAACUCUUGUCCUUAGUUGCCAGCGGUUUGGUUGGGAAUUUUAAGGAGACUGCCGGUGAUAAACCGGAGGAAGGUGGGGAUGACGUCAAGUCAUCAUGGCCCUUAUGGGCUGGGCUACACACGUGCUAUAAUGGUCGGUACAGAGGGUUGCGAAGCAGUGAUGUGGAGCCAAUCCCAGAAAGCCGAUCGUAGUCCGGAUUGCAGUCUGUAAUUUGACUGCAUGAAGUCGGAAUCGCUAGUAAUCGCGAAUUAGAAUGUCGCGGUGAAUACGUUCCCGGGCCUUGUAUAUAUUGCCCGUCACACCAUGGGAGUUGGUUGCACCAGAAGUAGGUAGCUUAAUUUUUGGGAGGGUGUUUACUAUGGUGUGGUCAAUGACUGGGGUGAAGUUGUAACAAGGUA